rnacentral:rRNA from 1 species
UACGAAGGGGGCUAGCGUUGUUCGGAAUUACUGGGCGUAAAGCGCAUGCAGGCGGAUCGCUAAGUCAGGGGUGAAAGCCCGAGGCUCAACCUCGGAACUGCCUUUGAUACUGACGAGCUUGAGUCCGGGAGAGGUGAGUGGAACUCCGAGUGUAGAGGUGAAAUUCGUAGAUAUUCGGAAGAACACCAGUGGCGAAGGCGGCUCACUGGCCCGGUACUGACGCUGAGAUGCGAAAGCGUGGGGAGCAAACAGG